CCUACGGGAGGCAGCAGUGAGGAAUAUUGGUCAAUGGACUUACGCCUGAACCAGCCAAGUCGCGUGAGGGAAGACUGCCCUAUGGGUUGUAAACCUCUUUUGUCUGGGAGUAAUAUGCUCUACGUGUGGCAUUAUCUAUAGUACCUGAAGAAAAAGCAUCGGUAACCUCCUUGCCAGCAGCCGCGUUAAUAGGGGGGAUGCGACGUUUACCGGGUUUUAUGGGGUUGAAAGGAUGGUUGGUGGGUAGUCCAAGUAGGCGGGAAAGUCUCGGGGCUAAACGUAGAAUCGCCGUUGAAACUGGCAGUCUUGAGUGGACGAGAGGUGGGCGGAAUGCGUGGUGUAGCGGUGAAAUGCUUAGAUAUCACGAAGAACUCCGAUUGCGAAGGCAGUACACUGGCGCGCAACUGACACUGAGGCUCGAAAGUGUGGGUAUCGAACAGGAUUAGAUACCCUUGUAGUC
rnacentral:rRNA from 1 species